UUUUUGUCUUUUUCCUUUUUAUCGGUACCGGGGAUCAAACUCACGACCGCCUGCUUACAAGGCAGGUGCUUAUGCCGCUGAGCUAAAUCCCCCGCCCCUAGACAGUGAACAGUUAAGCCACAGAACAGGAGACACUAUUGGCAAAUCACGUUGCUAACAGAAGUCUAGUAUCUCAAACGUACAGAGAAUGCCUUCAGCUCAAUGACCGCGAAGAGGCAAGGGUCCUGAACAGACAUUUCUGCAGAGGACACAGACCAAGGACCACUGAGGACGCGAGGGGGUUCACAUCAUGAGUUAUCAGAGAAAUGCACAACUUUUGCUGAGCCACCGUCCUGGCAGGCUUUGCCAGUGGCACGGGGCCCCUCUGAGGAGGUAAGGCUUGAGCAGCGACCUGAAGGAAGUGAGCAGUGGGCGCCGGAGGGAAGUGUGGCCUUAAAGGCCGAAAAGUUGGGGUGCCAGCUGGGCCCAAGCAACCACAGACGCCCAGGCUGAGAGGAGGCAGGAGGAGAUGAGCCGGAGGCAGACCGGAAGGACGCCAGCGGCCAACACAGUAGCACAGAAUCGACUAAGACACAACCCUAAAAAAGGAAACAGAUUUGAGUACCUAGAAAGUAGCACAGUGCUCCAACAAACACCCAAAAAUGUGGAAGUGACUUUGGACCUGGAUACUGGGAAUGCAACUGGGCCAGACAUAGAUGGUGCAGCACUCAGGAGGCUGAGGCAAGAAGAUCUCCGUGAGUUUGAGGCCAGCCUGGACAACACAGCAAGUUCAAGGCCAACCUGAACUACAUAGUGAGACCUUGUCCAAAAAAAGUGACUGAUUUUUGCAUGCUGUAUACUGCCUUUGUAUCUUUCUACAUUGAUGAAUUCAUUUAUUAGUUCAAACAAUAACUUUUGUGGAAGCAUGAUUUUUUUGAUAAAUCAUGAACUCACUCUGAACACAGAUAACUGUACUUCUUCCUUUCCAACAUGAAUGCUUUUUAUUUCUUUUGCAUACCCAA